rnacentral:tRNA from 1 species
AAUAGAGAGGGGAAUUAAACCCAUGUAAAUAGGUCUACAGCCUACCGCCUAACAUUCGGCCACUCUACCU